UCAUUUCAAUUCAUUUUAUAUAAUUGUGUCCUUUUGUGCCUUCUCCAUGUGUUGUUGCUGAGAAUUAAGAUAAGAACAUAGAAGCCAUAGUUUUUGUCGUCCCCUGCCUCAAGAUCUCUCUUUGGUAGGGUAAAUCUAAAAAAUGUAAAUCAAUUUAGAGUAGUUGUGGAAGAUAUUUUAUGCGGACGUGACAAUAGAGAUCAAUCUUCUUGCUGAAAAAUGGAAAUAUAUUCUUGGUGGUUUGAAUUGUAAGACAAAUCAUGUCGGAGUGUAAAUCAAGUUGGUAUGUGGAAUUUAUUAAGAUCCAGCUAUCGGAAGGUUUUAGAUAGUCCCAGACCUCUGCAAAUAUGUUUGCUGUUCGGAGGAAAAAAUAACAAUAAUGAGCAGAACAACGAUGCUCCUUCAAAGGUAUCUGAGUAUAUCCCUUUCGUUGUAUAGUAUUUUAUUGGUUACAUUGAUGUUGGAUCAAUCUUGUUUGGUGGCUUGUCAACGAUCAUUUUAAGCUA